UACGGAGGGUGCAAGCGUUAUCCGGAUUCACUGGGUUUAAAGGGUGCGUAGGUGGGCAGGUAAGUCAGUGGUGAAAUCUCCGGGCUUAACUCGGAAACUGCCGUUGAUACUAUCUGUCUUGAAUAUCGUGGAGGUUAGCGGAAUAUGUCAUGUAGCGGUGAAAUGCUUAGAUAUGACAUAGAACACCCAUUGCGAAGGCAGCUAACUAGACGAUCAUUGACACUGAGGCGCGAAAGCGUGGGGAGCAAACAGG
rnacentral:rRNA from 1 species